AACUUGGCCGUCUCUCUGGAGAACGUGGCCAAAGUGUUGAAGACGAUAGCUCUUCCCCCAAGGGAACAGGAAUAGGUAAUCUCAAAAUCCCUCAAUUUGGUCGUAUCUCUGGAAAACCUAAUGUAAAUGUUGAAGGUGAUAGCUCUUCUCCUAAGGGAACAGGAAUAGGUAGUCUCAAAAUCCCUCAACUUGACCGUCUCUCUGGAAAACCUGAUGUAAAUGUUGAUGGUGAUAAAUCUUCCCCCAAGGGAACAGUAAUAGGUGGUCACAAAAUCCCUCAACUUGUCCGUCCCUCUGGAAAACCUGAUGUAAAUGUUGAAGGUGAUAGCUCUUCUCCCAAGGGAACUGCCAUGGGUGGUCUCCAAAUUGGGCAGCUCUUAGGAAAAGGAAGUCUAACUGUGCAAAGAUCUGCAUCUUCCCCUAAAGGAAAUGGAAAGGAAGGUUCCUUACUAGAAAAGGCUAUUAAUGCAGCUGGCGGAAUGAUGAAUAGUGUAGCAGGGAUAUUCUCUUCCCCCAAGGGAACUGGGGCAGGUAUUCUCCAAGCUGGCACGCUCUCAGGAAAAGGAAGUCUAACUGUGCAAGGAUCUGCAUCUUCCCCCAAAGGAAACGAAAAGGGAGGUUCCUUACUAGAACAGUCUAUUAAUGCAGCUGGCGGGAUGAUGAAUAGUGUAGCAGGCAUGCUGUCUCCCCGCAAGGGUACUGGAGCAGAUAGUCUCCAAGCCAGCCAGCCCUCGGGAAAAGGAAGUCUAAAUGUACAAAGAUCUGUAUCUUCACCUAAAGGAAACGGAAAGGGAGAUUCCUUACUAGAACAGUCUAUUAAUGCUGCUGGCGGGAUGAUGAAUGGUGUAGCAGGAACGUUCUCUCCCCACAAGAGUACUGGAGCGGGUAGUCUCCAAGCCGGCCAGAUCUCUGGAAAAGGAAGUCUAAAUGUACAAGGAUCUGUAUCUUCCCCGAAAGGAAAUGGAAGGGGAGGUUCCUUACUAGAAAAGUCUAUUAAUGUAGCUGGCGGAAUGAUGAAUAGUGUAGCAGGAAUGUUCUCUUCUGCAACAGGGGCAGGAAAGGGAAAUGGUUUGUUCCCUCAAUCCAGCUCUAGCUCAGGGACAAAUACGGGCAAAAUCUCAGGCAGUGUAUCUUCCCCGAGGGGCAGUCGACAAGGCAAGGCCUCAGGAGUCAAUCUCCCCCGUUUCUCACGUCGGAAGCUUCUUAGUUUGGAUCUAAAUCUCCAAAAUGAAGAAGCAGGCAUUUUGCCUGGUGCUUCCCUGAAUUCACCUGGGCUUCCUAAUGACCUUCUGGGCCCUGCAUCUUCUUCACCUGCGAGCGGCCAAGAAACUGCAAACCUCCCUCCUUCCGUCAUAGUCCGUGUCCAGAAGGGAAGCAAUAACCAAGCUCUCGAGCAGCUCAAAUCAGAAGGCGGCAAGAUCCAAUUCAUCCCACUGGGACCUCCAGAAUCCUCCGGCGAUGCUCUCCUGUACCGAUACACAGCCAAGGUGACCCAUGAAGAUGGAAGCCACACCAUCCUCAACAGCGCACCCCUCUCCCUUCCCCCAAAGCAAAGCUCCCCCAUGGACAUGACUCUGAGCCCCAGCAUCCUCGGCGCACUGAUGCCAGACAUCAAAGCCAGCAGUCUUUCCGCAAAAUUGUUCGGCAACAGCGUCCUGCCAGGAGAUCUACAUUCCCUGCUCCCUAAGGACCCGUCAGGAAACGAAAUGAAAGCCAUGAUAUCCCGAAUCAGGCGACCAACUGUUUACACCCCAGCUUUAGCGAUCGCGGUUCGAAUAUGCGUCACCUCGGAAGGAAAAUGCAUCGGCAACUUAGCUUCCAUGAACAUGGAAAUUCCCGUGAAAGUUAAUUUGGAAGUUUCCGGAGACAAGGUGUUCUUCAAGAUUUCUCAGCCCAGGACUGAAGACAUAUCCAUGUCCUCUCCAGUGGCUGGCAUUGAUCUGGACCAAUACAAAGCAUGGAGUGCUGCAAGCAUGGGAAAAGCCAUCGAUAUUAUAAAUGAAAUGUCUGAAGAGCAGGCGCUCACACUGCCGAUACUGCAACACAUGAAGAACCCGGUUGUGCACGUUUCCCCAGUAAGAGACCUCCUGGAGCAGCCAAAGCUCCCAUGCAAGAUGCUGGAACUGCAAAAUUGUGCUAAAAAUAACUAUUAA
ensembl:lncRNA